rnacentral:rRNA from 1 species
UACGUAGGGGGCAAGCGUUAUCCAGAUUUACUGGGCGUAAAGCGCGUGUAGGCGGCUGGUUAGGCGUGAUGUGAAAUCUUCCGGCUCAACCGGAAAACUGCAUUGCGAACCGGCCUGGCUAGAGUGCAGGAGAGGGAAGCGGAAUUCCAGGUGUAGCGGUGAAAUGCGUAGAGAUCGGCAGGAACACCCAGGGGGACACCAGCCGACUGGGCAUCUGCUGACGCUGAGGUGCGAGAGCGUGGGGAGCGAACCGG